rnacentral:rRNA from 1 species
GAUGAACGCUGGCGGCGUGCCUAAUACAUGCAAGUCGAGCGAACGGACGAGAAGCUUGCUUCUCUGAUGUUAGCGGCGGACGGGUGAGUAACACGUGGAUAACCUACCUAUAAGACUGGGAUAACUUCGGGAAACCGUAGCUAAUACCGGAUAAUAUUUUGAACCGCAUGGUUCAAAAGUGAAAGACGGUCUUGCUGUCACUUAUAGAUAGAUCCGCGCUGCAUUAGCUAGUUGGUAAGGUAACGGCUUACCAAGGCAACGAUGCAUAGCCGACCUGAGAGGGUGAUCGGCCACACUGGAACUGAGACACGGUCCAGACUCCUACGGGAGGCAGCAGUAGGGAAUCUUCCGCAAAGGGCGAAAGCCUGACGGAGCAACGCCGCGUGAGUGAUGAAGGUCUUCGGAUCGUAAAACUCUGUUAUUAGGGAAGAACAUAUGUGUAAGUAACUGUGCACAUCUUGACGGUACCUAAUCAGAAAGCCACGGCUAACUACGUG